AUACGGAGGGUGCAAGCGUUACUCGGAAUCACUGGGCGUAAAGGACGCGUAGGCGGGAUGCCAAGUCUGAUGUGAAAUCCUACAGCUCAACUGUAGAACUGCAUUGGAAACUGGUAACCUAGAGUAUGGGAGGGGGAGAUGGAAUUAGUGGUGUAGGGGUAAAAUCCGUAGAUAUCACUAGGAAUACCUAAAGCGAAGGCGAUCUCCUGGAACAAUACUGACGCUAAGGCGUGAAAGCGUGGGGAGCAAACGGGAUUAGAAACCCCAGUAGUCC
rnacentral:rRNA from 1 species